CGGUGUUCAACUGGCGUGCCCGCGGGACGUCCUGCCGGUGAGCUCAGCCCGCGAGGGCGGCUCAACUUGAAAUCCCAUCGCGGUGCUCUUCAUUGAGUGUCGAGGUGGGCCGGCACGAUUACUUUUGAACAAAUUAGAGUGCUUAAAGCAGGCUAAAAUUUUGCCUGAAUACUGUGUAUAUGGAAUAAUGGAAUAGGACCUCGGUUCUAUUUUGUUGGUUUUCGGAACCCCGAGGUAAUGAUUAAUAGGAACGGAUGGGGGCAUUCGUAUUGCGACGUUAGAGGUGAAAUUCUUGGAUCGUCGCAAGACGGACUAAAGCGAAAGCAUUUGCCAAAAACGCUUUCAUUGAUCAAGAACGAAAGUUAGAGGCUCGAAGGCGAUCAGAUACCGCCCUAGUUCUAACCAUAAACUAUGCCAGCUAGCGAUCCGCCGACGUCCCUCUGAUGACUCGGCGGGCAGCUUCCGGGAAACCAAAGCUUUUGGGUUCCGGGGGAAGUAUGGUUGCAAAGCUGAAACUUAAAGGAAUUGACGGAAGGGCACCACCAGGAGUGGAGCCUGCGGCUUAAUUUGACUCAACACGGGAAACCUCACCAGGCCCAGACACUGGAAGGAUUGACAGAUUGAGAGCUCUUUCUUGAUUCAGUGGGUGGUGGUGCAUGGCCGUUCUUAGUCGGUGGAGCGAUUUGUCAGGUUAAUUCCGAUAACGGACGAGACUCUGACCUGAUAACUAGACGCACUUGCGGCAUCUCAAAGGUCCGCCGGCGGCUGGCUUUGCGCCCGUCGUCGCGCGCGAUUUUUACUGCCGGCGUACAAUAAAUUCUUCUUAGAGGGACAAGUGG
rnacentral:rRNA from 1 species